rnacentral:rRNA from 1 species
CCGGACCGCGACGAGGUGAGUAACACGUAUGAAACCUGCCCGUAGCAGGGGGAUAAGCGGAAGAAAUUCCGUCUAAUACCGCGUAACAACCCAUGGAGGCAUCUCUGUGGGUUUAAAGGAAGCGAUUCCGGCUACGGAUGGUCAUGCGUCGCAUUAGCUUGUUGGCGGGGUAACGGCCCACCAAGGCGACGAUGCGUAGGGGUUCUGAGAGGAAGGUCCCCCACACUGGUACUGAGACACGGACCAGACUCCUACGGAAGGCAGCAG